UACGUAGGGUGCAAGCGUUUGUCCGGAAUUAUUGGGCGUAAAGAGCUCGUAGGCGGUCUGUCGCGUCUGCUGUGAAAACUCAGGGCUUAACCCUGAGCUUGCAGUGGGUACGGGCAGACUAGAGUGCGGUAGGGGAGACUGGAAUUCCUGGUGUAGCGGUGAAAUGCGCAGAUAUCAGGAGGAACACCGGUGGCGAAGGCGGCUUGCUGGGCGUAGUCUGACGCUGGAGGCGCGAAAGCGUGGGGAGCGAACAGG
rnacentral:rRNA from 1 species